AUACGGAGGGAGCAAGCGUUGUUCGGAAUUACUGGGCGUAAAGGGCGCGUAGGCGGUGAUAUAAGUCAGAUGUGAAAACCAUCGGCUUAACCGAUUGGAUUGCAUUUGAUACUGUAUCACUUGAGUUCAGUAGAGGAGAGUGGAAUUCCCAGUGUAGCGGUGGAAUGCGUAGAUAUUGGGAAGAACACCAGUGGCGAAGGCGGCUCUCUGGACUGAUACUGACGCUGAGGCGACGAAAGCUAGGGGAGC
rnacentral:rRNA from 1 species